GCGCUCCUCUCUGUCCCUGAGACCCUAACUUGUGAUGUUUACCGUUCAAAUCCACGGGUUAGGCUCUUGGGAGCUG
ensembl:miRNA Mir125b-1 microRNA 125b-1